UGGAUAAAAUAACAAACAACAGUAUUUCUGACCUAUAA
rnacentral:antisense_RNA from 1 species